UUGUUUUGCAGGUUCAUUUUGACUGGCUGCUAUGAUGGUUUGGGAAGGGUACGGAAAGGAGCUGGAUGGUGUCCACAUAUACUAGAAGGACACAGUGGUGCAAUUAGUAUCAACUCAGAAAGUUUGGGCUAGUAGUGGUCUAUGGUCAUUUUUAACAUUUUAGUCAUUGAUCUUAAUGAAGGAUUUUAAUGUAUGACUAUGUCAUAUGAAUUUUACUUCAUAAAAGCUAUUGCUUUCAUCUGAUAGCAUUGGAAAACUCCAAGCCUGCUCUAUGUAUCAUCCUUUCUGUUUUGGUGAAAUGAAACGAUGUUGUCAGUGGUGUCUAUUUUAUGCCUAAUCCUGCGUGGUGUCCUUCAAUCUAUAUCUAGGUUUGUUUUUACUCGUAUUCGUGAUUAUCUUUUUAUUGAUGAGUAGGGUAUGUUGCAUGUGCAGAGGCAGGAAGUGCUACAGAAGCCACUGCUUCAAAAGUUCGAACUCAGAGGAUGUGGAAGGCAAUUAGAAAAAUGAAUUCAUUUCAAAAUGGAUAGUGUAAAAUUAAUUCCCUUACUAACUGGUACAUCCUUUUUCUAUGAAAGUUUGAUGCAGAGGACUCCAAUGAUCAUCCUGUAAGGAUAAGAGCAUUCAAGAUCUUGCAUGGGCAUAAUGAAUCUGUUCACAGUGUUGCGGCAAAGACUUCAGGAGACAUGGUUCUUGGGAUUGUACAAUCAAUUUAUGGUGGACAAAUGACUCUGAUACAGAUGGAGAUGUGGUAUCAAUCAAGAAAAGAAAGAUGGAUAAUAAAGCUGAGGAAUCUCAAUCAGAGAAAGGCUUCUAUAGAGAAUAUUCAUGCUUUGUAAGGGCACUUUGAAAGUAAAACAAGAAGAAUAUGGACUUUUUCUGAUAGCAGCGAUGAGAGGCUGUGCCUACACUUGUGGGCCAUACACAGUGUGUGUCGUGUGGUUUGGCCUCAACAUGAGACAAUUUAUUUGGCAUGAUGGGAUCACUCUUUUAGACAAUGGGAUGUUGAGACAGGCAAAGAUUUGUCAAAUAUAGCACAUCUCUCUCUCUCUCUCUCUCUCUCUCUCUCUCCAUUUGUCUUUGUGUUUGCAUGCACUUGCAUUCUAGUUAUACGAUGGCAAUUACAUUUUGUGCUUCUUGAAUCAUGUCUUCGCACUUUUUCUGAUGUUUAAAAGUACAAUUUUUGUUCAUACGAAAGAAGGGAUAAAAGGAAAUAUUAUUGCUUAGGUUGUUUUUCAUUUUCCGCUCUUCCCCAACCUGGUUCCUCUUUUGCUUUCCGUUUUCUGUGGGUCUAUUGCAUCCCUUUACCCGCCUUUAACUGUUUUGUAUGUCCUUCCUCCCAUUUUGCCCACCCUUAUUGGGAGGCUGGCAUCAUUGUACAUCACUACACCUGUUAAUCAAUUUUUUUUUCUUAAAAAUUUGCAAUCUGUAACUUUUAUUAUCGUAUGGUUGGAAUUUGAGUAGUUGUUGCUUUUAGUAUUUGGCUUGGUUUUUAUGUUGAUUCGUUUCUUUCCCUGAUUAUCUUCUGUUGGAAAGAUUAAGGUAGAAAACCUUUUUGUUUUCCAAAGUUUGAAUGAUACCAUCCUUCAUGCACAGUUCUGUGGUAAAGUCCUUAACUGCAUUGAUAUAGGCAGGGAAGGAUCGGCUCUCAUUGCUGCUGUUGGUUCUGGCCCAAUUCUUAGAAUAUGGGAUCCUUGUAUGCUGGGUCUGUUGUUCAUAAUAUCAUGUAUGUUAAUGUUUUUCUUUUGCCUCUCUUUCUCACCCAUUUGGUGCCCGUGUGGACACAUGAAACCAUUUAAAGUACCAUCUCACAUGAAACUUUUACCUUUUCAAGGAAGAACGGCAUCUGUGUUUCAGUUCUCUUCACAUAAUUCUUGGAUUUCAGCUUGCUAGUGGCACAAUACGUCUUCUUUUCAUUUACUUUCUUCAUCCUAUGAUGGGAAAUAGUGUUGUGGGUUCUAAGAUCAGCAGUAUCAUAUUUUCUGCAUUUUCACAAUUUAACUAUGUAUUACAUGCCAAACAAGAAGCAACCUUUUGUUUCUCUGGAUACUGUUUUG